GACGUAGGGCGCGAGCGUUGUCCGGAUUUAUUGGGCGUAAAGAGCUCGUAGGCGGCUUGUCGCGUCGACUGUGAAAACUCGGGGCUCAACUCCGAGCUUGCAGUCGAUACGGGCAGGCUAGAGUUCGGUAGGGGGAGACUGGAAUUCCUGGUGUAGCGGUGAAAUGCGCAGAUAUCAGGAGGAACACCGGUGGCGAAGGCGGCCACCUGGUUGGAUACUGACGCUGAGACGCGAAAGCGUGGGGAGCAAACAGG
rnacentral:rRNA from 1 species